rnacentral:rRNA from 1 species
CAGCCGCCGCGGUAAAACGGAGGGAGCUAGCGUUGUUCGGAAUUACUGGGCGUAAAGCGCGCGUAGGCGGUUACUCAAGUCAGAGGUGAAAGCCCGGGGCUCAACCCCGGAACUGCCUUUGAAACUAGGUGACUAGAAUCUUGGAGAGGUCAGUGGAAUUCCGAGCGUAGAGGUGAAAUUCGUAGAUAUUCGGAAGAACACCAGUGGCGAAGGCGACUGACUGGACAAGUAUUGACGCUGAGGUGCGAAAGCGUGGGGAGCAAACAGGAUUAGAUACCCCCGUAGUCCCUGUCUCUUAUAC